AGAGUUUGAUCCUGGCUCAGGAUGAACGCUAGCGGCAGGCUUAACACAUGCAAGUCGAGGGGCAGCGGGGAGGAAGCUUGCUUUCUCCGCCGGCGACCGGCGCACGGGUGAGUAACACGUAUGCAACCUGCCCCUGUCAGGGGGACAACCCGCCGAAAGGCGGGCUAAACCCGCGUACAUGCCACCGGGGCAUCCCGGAGGCAGGAAAGGCUUCGGCCGGACAGGGAUGGGCAUGCGGCGCAUUAGGCAGUAGGCGGGGUAACGGCCCACCUAACCGACGAUGCGUAGGGGUUCUGAGAGGAAGGUCCCCCACACUGGUACUGAGACACGGACCAGACUCCUACGGGAGGCAGCAGUGAGGAAUAUUGGUCAAUGGUCGGGAGACUGAACCAGCCAAGCCGCGUGAGGGAGGAAGGUACAGAGUAUCGUAAACCUCUUUUGUCAGGGAACAAAGGCGGGGACGUGUCCCCGGAUGAGUGUACCUGAAGAAAAAGCAUCGGCUAACUCCGUGCCAGCAGCCGCGGUAAUACGGAGGAUGCGAGCGUUAUCCGGAUUUAUUGGGUUUAAAGGGUGCGCAGGCGGUCUGUUAAGUCAGCGGUCAAAGCCCGGGGCUCAACCCCGGCCCGCCGUUGAAACUGGCAGUCUCGAGUUGGAGAGAAGUAUGCGGAAUGCGCGGUGUAGCGGUGAAAUGCAUAGAUAUCGCGCAGAACUCCGAUUGCGAAGGCAGCAUGCCGGCUCCACACUGACGCUGAGGCACGAAAGCGUGGGUAUCGAACAGGAUUAGAUACCCUGGUAGUCCACGCAGUAAACGAUGAAUGCUGGCUGUCCGGGGGGAUUGACCCCUGGGUGGCGAAGCGAAAGCGAUAAGCAUUCCACCUGGGGAGUACGCCGGCAACGGUGAAACUCAACGGAAUUGACGGGGGCCCGCACAAGCGGAGGAACAUGUGGUUUAAUUCGAUGAUACGCGAGGAACCUUACCCGGGCUCAAACGGGGAGUGACUCAGGCAGAGACGCCUGUUUCCCACGGGACACUCCCCGAGGUGCUGCAUGGUUGUCGUCAGCUCGUGCCGUGAGGUGUCGGCUUAAGUGCCAUAACGAGCGCAACCCCCGCGUGCAGUUGCUAACAGAUAACGCUGAGGACUCUGCACGGACUGCCGGCGCAAGCCGCGAGGAAGGCGGGGAUGACGUCAAAUCAGCACGGCCCUUACGUCCGGGGCGACACACGUGUUACAAUGGGUGGUACAGCGGGAAGCCAGGCGGCGACGCCGAGCGGAACCCGAAAUCCACUCUCAGUUCGGAUCGGAGUCUGCAACCCGACUCCGUGAAGCUGGAUUCGCUAGUAAUCGCGCAUCAGCCAUGGCGCGGUGAAUACGUUCCCGGGCCUUGCACACACCGCCCGUCA
rnacentral:rRNA from 1 species